ACACCUUACAUAAUCUUUAAAUUAUAGGAAAAUGCUAGAAGGGAGUUCUGAGAUUCAGCAGCUGAAGUAAUGCUGGAGAUUUAUAGCUCUCUGAAGUCGACAUUUGUGACUGACCUACAGCACACCAGGGCUGCUAUUUCACUUUCCUGAUUCAUGAUGACAAAACAAGGACAGAGCAUAGAUUAAACAUGGAAUUAAACUGGUCUCCUAGGGCAGGUUUCCCACUGGACCUUCUUCUAUGACACACUUUAUCUUCAACUUCUAAGUAUAUACAGAAUGAAAACACCCAUUUCUUGAGGGUGAAGCACUGGCUUGCUACAAGUAAAGGAAAUUUUGUCUCAUUUGAAAAUCCUUCCAACUAAGGACAGAUGCUGACCUGGACACCAAAAUACCUGUCUUAUAGGAGGAAAACUGCCACUUAGUAACUCUUCUGAUUAAAAAAAAAAAGUUUAUAUAUUUAUGUAGAGCCACAUUUCCAACUCCCAGAGACAUCCACACAGAACUGCUCUGUAGGACUUCUACAGAAGUGGCCUUUGGGAUAGGCCUAAGGAUUUUACACUGGAAUGGCCAGUAUGUCUGAAGUGUACCACAGCCCUCACUUCAAAGAGCCCCUCACUAAGCUGAAGGAAGAACACACAUUUCCAGGAUGCACUGCCCCAUGGUCUUUCCAACUAUGUGAAAGGAGGCUUUAUUGAGAUUUUAGUUCAUUAGAAGCACAGAAAAAUAUGAGGAAAAUAUAUUUAAGGUCACCCUUGCUCUCCCCACUUCUUCAAAGAUUUCAAGGUAAUGACUUAAAUUGAAACCUAUAAUGAAAAAACAUAUUCUUACAUCAUCAUUAU
rnacentral:lncRNA from 1 species